rnacentral:rRNA from 1 species
AGGWCCAGCCUGCCCAGUGACCAAAAGUUWWACGGCCGCGGUAUCCUAACCGUGCAAAGGUAGCACAAUCACUUGUUCUUUAAAUCAGGACCAGUAUGAACGGCCUCACGAGAGCUACACUGUCUCCCCCCUUUAAUCAGUGAAACUGAUCUCCUCGUGAAGAAGCGAGGAUAUUACUAUUAGACGAGAAGACCCCAUGGAGCUUAAAACUUGUGCCACUACCCCUUAACCAUACCACAUCCGGGCAAGUAUGACCACUAGUCUUUCAGCUGGGGCGGCUACGGAGAAAAACUAAACCUCCACGAUGAACGGAACUCCUCCCUAAUUAAAGAGCUACAGCUCUAAAAAUCAAUAAAUUGACAUAAAUUGACCCAAUACCUUGAUCAACGAACCAAGUUACCCUGGGGAUAACAGCGCAAUCCAUUUCAAGAGACCCCAUCGACAAAUGGGCUUACGACCUCGAUGUUGGAUCAGGGUAUCCAAGUGGUGCAGCCGCUACUAACGGUUCGUUUGUUCAACGAUUAAAACCCUACGUGAUCUGAGU